UACGUAGGGGGCUAGCGUUGUCCGGAUUUAUUGGGCGUAAAGAGCGUGUAGGCGGCCAGGUAGGUCCGUUGUGAAAACUCGAGGCUCAACCUCGAGACGUCGGCGGAAACCCUCUGGCUAGAGUCCGGAAGAGGAGAGUGGAAUUCCUGGUGUAGCGGUGAAAUGCGCAGAUAUCAGGAAGAACACCCGUGGCUAAGGCGGCUCUCUAGGUACGGUACUGACGCUGAGACGCGAAAGCGUGGGGAGCGAAACAGGAUUAGAACCUUCGAGUCAG
rnacentral:rRNA from 1 species